GGUAAUGUUGCUGAGGGAUGAUGGUGAGGAAGAAGAGAUUGAGACACUAGAGCCUCUCACUGAAGAAAUUGAGGAAGCUAUGGAGUUAAAGCACUUGUCACUAAACAGUAUACAGGGAAUUUCUUCAAGGAAAUCUCUCAGGUUGUGUUUGGAUGGGGUGAUUUUUGGGGGGAAUGUAAUUCUAGAGGGUAUUUUAAAUCCCUUAAAUUGAAAUACCUUGUUUGGAUAUUUAUUUGUGGAAUUCUGAAAAUACUGGUAAUUAAAAGAGGUAAUUUAAUGAAGGGAUUAUGGGGUAAUCAAAAUACCCUCAAAAUUGGAAGUAAUUGGAAAAUCCCUCACUGGCUCGUGUCUCUCACUCUCUCGUUCUCGCUCCCAAUCUCACUCUCGCUCCCGAUCUCAACCUCUCUGCGAUCUCGUUCUCUCGUUCUCGCUCUCCCGAUCUCACUCUCCCGAUCUCGCUCUUUCGUUCUCGCUCCCGAUCUCAACCUCUCUGCGAUCUCGUUCUCUCGUUCUCGCUCUCCCGAUUCAUGGAGUGGCUCUUUCUUCCCUCUUCAUUCAGGCUACUGCUAUAAGUGGAUACACUAGCAACUCUGCUUCUGCCAAGAAGUGCAGAAAGAAGAAGGUAAAAAAUAUAGGAUUUACUGGCGUUUUCAGGUUGAUUUUUAAGCCGCUAGUUAAUGAAUUUCCUGGCUUUGCAGCAGUAUGUUAUUCAUUGAGGCAGAAGGUAGGUUACCUCUUCUUAAAACAUUAAUUUCCCACUUGUUUCAGUGCCCCUACAUUGGAGCAGUAUGCUUGUUCUUUUCUUUCUUUUUGGGGUGACUUAUCAAAUGAUAUAUUUGUAGAACUCGGAUUGGGUGGUUAACUGUUUACUAAAUUUUGUUGCUUCCUAAUUUUAUGAUUAGUAAAGGCUUGUGAUCAUUUGAGGAAGCAUGUUAACUUGAAGAUGUUACAAAUAGGUGUAUGUAACAUAAGCAUUUAAUUUAGGAGUUUGAGGAUGAUAUACUGCCAAGUGCCAACUGAAGAUGAGUGCUAGGUAGUUUUAGAAUACUUGCUGGGAUUUCGUUUCAUUUUGUGUGCCCUGAUAAUUUCUAUGACUUGUAGUAGGACUACUUCACCUUCUAGAGCUUAGAAUAAUUGGUAGUAACUAGUUAGUCCGAUAAUCUGAACCAGGUAAAAUAUCUUAAUCCAAACCUGCUUUGCUUCUGAAAAUCUGAUAUGGAAUUUGUUAUUUCUUGCUUGUCAAAAGUCAUGCUCAUAAUUUAUCAGCAAAAAGAAUUUAUGGAGUAAAGGAGAUUUUAUUACAUUUUCAUUGCUGUGGUUAUUCCGGAAUAGAUUCAAUUUAGUUGGAAAAGAGGUCCAUCAACUCUGCUAUUAUGUCCAAGUUUAGUUUUAUAAUCUGCACAGAGAUAAGACUUGCAGCUUAUAGUCUGAAUUGAUUUUAGAACAUUUCAUCAUAAAACCAAACACAUAUAUAUGUUUUAAUCACAUCUUAUUAUAUGAGCUUUUUAAUCACAUCUUAUCCAUUUUUAUGUUUAAACUAGCUGAUUUUGAAUCUGAUUGAGUUAGCUUCUCUUACUUCCUAUUUUCUUUAUAGUGUCAUGCAAUAUUGAUGUUUUAUUAUAUGUUUUUUUUAGUUAACAAAUGGAUCUUAGAGUAGUUGACACUUCAGUUCUUUUACGAAAACGUAAAAGAAAUGAAGAAGAAGAAGAGGCAAAAU